GGCGUAAAGGGCUCGCAGGCGGUUUCUUAAGUCUGAUGUGAAAGCCCCCGGCUCAACCGGGGAGGGUCAUUGGAAACUGGGGAACUUGAGUGCAGAAGAGGAGAGUGGAAUUCCACGUGUAGCGGUGAAAUGCGUAGAGAUGUGGAGGAACACCAGUGGCGAAGGCGACUCUCUGGUCUGUAACUGACGCUGAGGAGCGAAAGCGUGGGGAGCGAACAGGAUUAGAUACCCUGGUAGUCCACGCCGUAAACGAUGAGUGCUAAGUGUUAGGGGGUUUCCGCCCCUUAGUGCUGCAGCUAACGCAUUAAGCACUCCGCCUGGGGAGUACGGUCGCAAGACUGAAACUCAAAGGAAUUGACGGGGGCCCGCACAAGCGGUGGAGCAUGUGGUUUAAUUCGAAGCAACGCGAAGAACCUUACCAGGUCUUGACAUCCUCUGACAAUCCUAGAGAUAGGACGUCCCCUUCGGGGGCAGAGUGACAGGUGGUGCAUGGUUGUCGUCAGCUCGUGUCGUGAGAUGUUGGGUUAAGUCCCGCAACGAGCGCAACCCUUGAUCUUAGUUGCCAGCAUUCAGUUGGGCACUCUAAGGUGACUGCCGGUGACAAACCGGAGGAAGGUGGGGAUGACGUCAAAUCAUCAUGCCCCUUAUGACCUGGGCUACACACGUGCUACAAUGGACAGAACAAAGGGCAGCGAAACCGCGAGGUUAAGCCAAUCCCACAAAUCUGUUCUCAGUUCGGAUCGCAGUCUGCAACUCGACUGCGUGAAGCUGGAAUCGCUAGUAAUCGCGGAUCAGCAUG
rnacentral:rRNA from 1 species